rnacentral:lncRNA from 1 species
UCUAUUCGGAUCAUGAACAAAAGGGUUCGAGAUCUUGAAAAAAUUUUCUCGAGCAAGUGGCCCGAUUUGAGGACAAAUCGCCUUAAAGAGGGAGGGGAUGAUACGACCAUGCCCUGGGCACAUUUUUCGAUCAGCUCCAUAAGUAUUUCUUGCACACCCAUGCGAGCUAAAUUAGCUCAAUUGCAUCUCACUGAGCUUCGUUUAGCUCGUUUCCAGCUCAAUGGGAUCAUUUUGCUCAAUUUAAGUUUAUUUUAAUUCUUAUAAUUUCAUUUGCUGAAACAAAUUGAAUAAGUUAGUUUAUUUAUUUAUUCCAGCUCAAAUAAGUGUUAGUAUUAAAUUUAUUAAAAUUAGACAUUUUAAUUAGGUGUUUUAAAUAUGCCUGGACGAAUUUAAUGCUGCCACUACAUGUUAUAAAUAUGCCUGGACGAAUUUAAUGCUGUUACUACAUGUUUGGCCGAAUUUAAUGUAAUUAAUUCAGCUGGAAACAACUACUUAAUGGCAAAGGAGACAUGCAUUUAAGUUGUUGUUCUACAUGCAAGGAACGGCAUUAAUUAGUUGCUGGUGCUUUUUCAUGUGGCCAUUUAAUGGACAGAUUUAAUGGGUGCAUGCUUGCCGAAUUUAAUGUGCAGCAAAGACAAGCAUUCAAUGAGAUGUUGAAGAAAGCAUGUUGUACAUGGACGGCAUUAAAGAUAGGUUGCUGACUUAGUUAGCAUUUAAGGAGGCAUGCGUGGAUGGCAAUAAAGAAGCUGCCGAAUUCUUCUUUCCAUGCAUGGACGUUAUUUAAUUCUCUACAAUAUCAUCAAGGUACCGCCCAAUUGAGAGAAUGAAUGAGCAACAUUUAAAGAAGACUUGCAUUAAAGAGAGUGGGCUACUGGUUGCUAUUUUCCAAGCAUCCCUUCGUGCAUUGCAAGGGUGAAAAUUCCCUUUCAUAAAUUCACAUUGCAUGGCCGGUGGAGUCUCCAAAACUGCUCAUUAAAGCUUCCAAGACUUUUCAGCUAAUCAAAGCAAUUUUUAAUAGCUCAUCAAUUGUUAGCUGAACUUAGCUUGUCCCAUUUAGCUCCUAAUGUAGCUCAUUACUUUCCAGCUGAUUCCAAGGCCUCUAGAAGCUGGCUGUUGACGUCCCCAACACACAAGAAGCUACCUGGAAUUUUCCUUUAACUUUCAGUUCAUUAAGGCUGAACCGAAUUGACCAUUCAUGUUCUCUAAUGACUAUUCGG